GCCCGGAUGGCGGAAUUGGUAGACGCGCUGGUCUCAAACACCAGUGACCUCACGGUCGUGCCGGUUCGACCCCGGCUCCGGGUA
rnacentral:tRNA from 1 species